rnacentral:rRNA from 1 species
UACAUGUGGGGCAAGCGUUGUUCGGAAUUACUGGGCGUAAAGGGUGCGUAGGCGGUUUGUUAAGUCACAGGUGAAAGUUUUCGGCCCAACCGGAAAAUUGCCCGUGAUACUGGCGAACUUGAGUGCGUGAGGGGUGGGGGGAACGAGCAGUGUAGCGGUGAAAUGCGUAGAUAUUGCUCGGAAGGCCGGAGGCGAAGGGGCCCCACUGGUACGCAACUGACGCUGAGGCACGAAAGCGUGGGGAGCAAACAGG